AUGCAAAGAGCCUCUUCUUGCCUGACUGAGACUCCAAAGUCCCAGGUUCAAUUCCCCACACCACCUGUAAGGCAGAGCUAAGUAGUGCUCUGGUAAAAAGAAAAAAGAAAAAAAAAACCUGUAAAACUACUUCAACCUUGUUGUCCUUUCUGUCACCAGGGCUCCUUGCCUGCACAUUCUAUAGCCCCAUCAGUCUUCUUCUUAUUUUUUUUUAAUGUAUUUUUAAUAUUUCUUUUUUGGUAGACACUUGAAAACAUGGAGGUGUAGGAGUGAAAGCACCACCUGCAGCGCUUCAUGUGAAGCUUCCCCUGUAGCUAGUGACUCAGAGCUUGAAGUUGGAUCCUCACCUAUGGUAGUGUGUACACUAUACCAAGUGUACCACUGUCCAGCCCCUAGGAACUUUUGUAAUAAAUUCAUUAACCCUGUUAACAAGAUGGAAGUUCAGGGCUAUAUUCUGGAAUCUCCUUUUAAAAGAGCAUGUUACAAAAAAAAAAAAAAGCAUGUUACACAAAUGUGCUUACAGUAAUACUAUUUUAGUAAUAGUCAGCAACAUUAUAAGGAUUAAAUAGGUAUGUAUCCCAAAAUAGCAUUAGUGAAAUAUGUGUUUCUUUGCACAGAAAGCUAGCUUCAGUUAUUUUACUUAUAGAAAGAGAGAGGCAAAGAGAGUGAAAGACCACAGCACUCAUCACUGAUGCUUCCUUCAGGGCAGUAGGGGACUGGGCUCUAACCAGGGUGGCACAUAUGACAAACAACACACUCUCCCAAGUGAGCUAUUUUGCUGAGUGUUAUAUGUAUGUGUUGUUUUUGUGACCAGGUAUGCCUAACUCCACUGUUCCCAGCAGCCUUUCUUUUUCUUUCCUUUUUUUUUUUUUUUUUAUAGAGGUAAGAGAAGGAAAGACAAAAUAAUAGAGAUACCUUCAGCGCUGCUUCACCACUCAUGAGGCUCCCCACCCCACAGAUGGAGACUGGAGGUUUGAACCUUGCACAUGAUAAUGUGUGGCACCAAAUGAACCACCACCCUGCCCUGCAAAUUUCUUUUCUUUGAACAUACUGAAAAUAUUUAGAAUUAAGUAUAAAAUCUUAAUCUUUGCAAUGUUAAAUAAAUUGAUAUACUUUGUUAUACAAAUACUAACAAACUUCCAAAGUGUUAGCUGAAAGUACUAUAUGAAAGAACUAGAAAUGUCAUAAUGCGUUAAAUUCUCAAGGCAGAAAUUAUUAAAUAGUUAAUUAUUCCUUUCUAACAACUUAAUUUUCCACUGAAGGAAAAUAGUAUGUCCAAAGUUAUGGCUAUAAAUCCUUUUUUCCCCCCCUUCUAACUAGUUUCCCUACUGAGACAUGUUCCUGAAAGGAGGCAGCUGAGAGAUGGCAUAGUAGAUAAGGCAUUGAACUCUCAAGCAUGGAGUCCUAAAUUCAAGGCCAGCAUCACAUGUGCCAGAGUUAUGCUCUGCUGCUCUCUCCUUUUUUUUCAUUUUUAUUUUUUAAAUUUUAUUCAUUUAUUAAUAUUAGGUAGAGACAGAGAGAAAUCGAGAGUGCAGGAGGAGGUAGAGAGGGUAAGAAACAAGCAGACACCUACAGCCCUGCUUCACCACACUUGUGAAGCUUCCCCCUGCAGGUGGGGACCAGGGGCUCGAACCAGGAUCCUUGUGCACUAUAAUGUGUGUGCUCAACCAGGUGUGCCACUGCCUUGCCCCUGCUCUCUCUCUUCUUAGUUAAUAAAUAAAUCAUUCAAAAAAUAAAAUGUUGUAAGCCAGUGGUUCCCAAACCAGUCUGAUCACCAUAUUUACUUAGGAAGCUUAUUAAACUAUGCAUUCCUGGACUAUCCUCCUGGUGUUCCCCAGAACAAAAUGUUUCAUCAUAAUUUUUAAAGAAUGUGGUAACUCCUGGAACAGAACCAUAUGCUAAGAUACUUAGUAGACCUGCAGACCCACUUCACUUGUGAAGCACCUCCCCCACCCUCCAGCUGGGGAGUGGAGGAUCACAUCCAGGUGAAAUGUGCUGCUUAACCAGGUGCUACACUGCCCAGUCCUUCUUUGUUUUAAACUUUAUUUUCACAGGACAGAGAAAAGUUGAGGGAAAGGAUGGGGGGAGAAGAGAGAAAGAUCUGCAGCACAGUUUCACCACUUGUGAAGCUUCCCCCCUACAGUUGGAGCAGGGAUUUGAACCCUGGUCCUUGUGCACAUAACCAGAUAUGCCACCACCCAGCCCCUCAGGUAAACUUUUUUCAGUUGUCUUAUUUAAGAUGUAAGAGACUCCACCAUCUGUGGCACUACCUCGUGAGCUCUCCUAGUGAUCCUGGUCCCAGCCUAUGUUUUUAUAGUUUUGGAGUUACGAAUAUUUUUUUUACAAUUUAAAAAAAGCAGCACUGCUCUGAGCUCUGGUUUAUGGCAGUGUCAUGAAUUAGACCUGGGACUUGAGAGCAUGAGGCAUGAAAGUCUUUGUUUAACCAUUAGGCAUUAUCUAUUCAGCCCAAUUUUUUACAUUUAAUUAAUUUGGCUUGUCAUCAGUGGGGCUUCUGUACUGUGGGGUGCCUUUUCAGAUAAAGUAAAAGAGACCACAGCACUGAAGCUUCCUCCAAUGCAGCAAGGCCUUUUUUUAAAUAUUUA